rnacentral:rRNA from 1 species
AAGCUUGUAAAUGUUCAUUAUUUGGACGAGACAACAUUUAUGCUUGGAAAUGACGAAGAAGGGGAAGAGGCUAUGGUUUUUGACACAAGUCCAAGCUUUGAUGAUCUUGUAGUUAAAGUGAGAAGUGUGUUACAUUGGAAUGACCCAAAUGCCAAGGUUAAUCUUAUUGGGAGGUAUGACGUUGGAUUGGGAUUAAAGUCCCGAUUAAAGAGUAUGCCCAUCACCUCCCAAUUGCAUUGGAAUGUGUACAAGGAAAAAGUAGACGCAUCACAAGACAAGUCUCUUGAGAUUUUUGCCACAAAGGUUGAUCCUCUUCCUCCGUUGCAAAUUGAUCUCAACUGCAAUGCAUCCUCCGCAAUACACGAUGAUAGUGCCGAGGUGUAUAUCCCCAAUUGUUCUAGCCAACCACCAAGUAGCCAACCCAAUGAAGAUCAUAUCAAUGCUAGCGCCAUAGUACUUCGUCAUGAUGCUAUUCCUCAUGUUGAAGAAGAUGAUAGUGGUCAUGUUGAUGAUGAUGCUAUUGUUGCUCAAGAGGAUGCUUAUGCGCAGAAUGAAGAAAUCCAUUACAAUCCAAUUGGUAACUUGGAUGUCAUUGUGCGCCAACAAGACAUGGACCGUACCCUCCCUUACAACCGUAUGUGUGGGUAUAACUCGGAGGACGAGGGUCCGGAGGAAGAAUUGGAUGAGGAUGGGUUAACUGCGCAAGAAAAUGAAAUCUACAAGAAGGUAACCGGCAAGGAGAGAGGGCCGCCGUUGUUUAGGGAUGUGAGUCUUGCGGACAAUGCCGUUGUUGAUGGUGGGCUGAGAUUCGGGUUGUCUGAGCCAACACCGUGCCCAAAUUCAGUUUGGUUCUUUGGUAGAGUUAAUACAUUAAUACUAACACCGUGCAAACCCCAAUUAUGUACAUUAAUACUAGCACUAGAUCUAGUUACACAAACUAUUCUACAAGCAAUUCUAAGCACAUCACACAAAAGGAAAUCACAAACAUAA